rnacentral:rRNA from 1 species
GACGAACGCUGGCGGCGUGCUUAACACAUGCAAGUCGAACGGAAAGGCCCCUUUGGGGGUACUCGAGUGGCGAACGGGCGGGUAACACGUGCGUAACCUGCCCUUGACUUCGUGUUAACUUCAUGAAACUGGGGCUAAUACCGGCUAGGAAUCAUUGCUGCAUGGAGGGGGUUGGAAAGCUUCUGCCGUUUUGGAUGGACUCACGGCCUAUCAGCUUGUUGGUGGGGUAGUUGCUUACCCAGGCUUUGACGGGCGGCCGGCCUGAGAGGGGGACCGGCCCACAUUGGGCUGGGGUACGGCCCCGGCUCCUACCGGAGGCAGCAGGGGGGAAUAUUGCCCCAUUGGCGGGAGCCUGGUGCAGGAACGCCGCGUGCGGGAUGACGGCCUUCGGGUUGUAAACCGCUUUCAGCAGGGGACGAGCUUGUGGUGACGGUACCUGCAGAAGAAGCACCGGCUAACUACGUG